UCUCUGCCCUUUCCUUUCAAUCGUUCUUGACUUCUCUCUCCAAAGCGUUCAGUUCCUUGGCUCGCUAGAAUCUCGACGGCGUUACCUCCGACGACCUUGAUGAUGCCAUUCACGAUUAGGUACUAGAAGGUGACGGAUCUACGAUUUUCUCUUUCUCAAGAUCGCUAUAUCGCUCAACUCAUCUAUGUGCUCUCAAUUUCUCGCUCAAUUCAUCUCUGCUCUCACGCUUUCCCUUAGUCAUCUCUCUGCUCUUACUCUCUCAUAUGACAACGCAAACCUUUGAAACCACAAACCCACCGAAGUCCAAACUCUCCCCCCUUUACAACAUUUGGUCUCAAAUCAGUCCAAAUUAUCAAUUUUUUAUGUUGCUAUGUUUGGGUUUCAGGCAUAGUAAGCAAAUUGUUUUCUCCGACUCCUAAUUCUCCUUCAGGAUUGUUUAUAAAACAAAGACCAGAGAGUAUUGUGAUAUAUAAAGAUGUGGAUGGUGGUACAACAAAUAAUACGUGCAAGGCAAAUAAAAGCAACUAACUGAGAAUUGGAUGUUCACUUGGCAUUGUACAGCAGAAAGAGUGGGCAACUGAAAUCAGCAGCCCCAUUUGAACUUGUGCAACCAUAUAUGAAGAGGUAGCAUCCCCAUUCGAACUUCUGCAGCCACAUAUGAAGAGGAGGAAGACACAAUUUUCAUGUGAUAUAUGUUGAUCAAGAUUGGUAUGAUUUGGGUGACUCCAACCGUGAAGGAAGUGUUAGGCUGGAAAUGGGCAUUACUUGGGAGCUGCUAUGAGGAAAGUAAAGCUUCUAAGGGAAAAUUCCUUAUAAUUGAGACUUAAUUACUAGAUACCUUGUUUCUUUUUAGUAUGUUUAAUUUUAAAUUUAAUUCAUAUUGUAAUUGUAAUAAUA